GGAGAGUUUGAUCCUGGCUCAGGACGAACGCUGGCGGCGUGCCUAAUACAUGCAAGUCGAGCGGACAGAUGGGAGCUUGCUCCCUGAUGUUAGCGGCGGACGGGUGAGUAACACGUGGGUAACCUGCCUGUAAGACUGGGAUAACUCCGGGAAACCGGGGCUAAUACCGGAUGGUUGUUUGAACCGCAUGGUUCAAACAUAAAAGGUGGCUUCGGCUACCACUUACAGAUGGACCCGCGGCGCAUUAGCUAGUUGGUGAGGUAAUGGCUCACCAAGGCAACGAUGCGUAGCCGACCUGAGA
rnacentral:rRNA from 1 species